rnacentral:lncRNA from 1 species
GUGAUUCUGCUGAUGUAGCUGAUGUUUUUUUCUUCAUUAUUCCUCUGCCUUUGUCCUUUCCUACAGGCUUACUCUGAGUUUGUCCUGACCUACCUAGAGGAGCUAAAUGAAAGAGAGGAGGUGACCCAGACAGAAAACUGUAUUCACCAUGGGGCCUGGUCUGCAGCUCAUCAGGAGAUAGACAGCAGCUCAGCAGAAGAGGUCACAGUAUUAAGCCAGAGGCAGAUUCUGCAAAAAAAUGUCAGCAAUCCCAAUCAGAAACAACUUUCAGGACCUUUGGACGCCCAUUUAAUGCCUGCAGAUCCCCUGGGGGAGACUACACAGCUGACAGUGGCACUGGUGAGGAAACUAGAAGAGAAACAUCCUAAGGCCUCAGCUCAAAGUUGGUCCAGCUGCAUGAGUUGA